CUAUGGCCAUACCACCCUGAAUGCACCUGAUCUCGUCUGAUCUCAGAAGCUAAGCGGGAUCAGGUCUGGUUAGUACUUGGAUGGGAGGAGUCAUAACAGCAGCAAAGU
rnacentral:rRNA from 1 species